UUCCCGAUGUUUAGUCAAAAUCUCCUUUCUUGUAACUUGAAGCCACUGGUGCCAGAGCAGGAGAAAACAAGCUUGUUCCCUCUUCCAUGUGACAGCCCUUGAGAUAUUUGAAGAUGUCUAUCAUAUUUCCUCUCAGUCUCCUCUUUUCCAGGCUGAACAUACGCAGCUCCUUCAAC